UACAGAGGGUGCGAGCGUUGUCCGGAAUCACUGGGCGUAAAGGGCGCGUAGGCGGCCCGAUAAGUCCGCUGUGAAAGUCCAGGCUCAACCCUGGGAUGCCGGUGGAUACUGUCGGGCUCGAGUCCGGAAGAGGAGUGUGGAAUUCCUGGUGUAGCGGUGAAAUGCGCAGAUAUCGGGAAGAACACCCGUGGCGAAGGCGGUUCUCUGGGACGGUACUGACGCUGAGACGCGAAAGCGUGGGGAGCGAACAGG
rnacentral:rRNA from 1 species